CGUGUCCGGAAUUACUGGGCGUAAAGAGUUCGUAGGCGGUUUGUCGCGUCGUUUGUGAAAACCCGGGGCUCAACUUCGGGCUUGCAGGCGAUACGGGCAGACUUGAGUGUUUCAGGGGAGACUGGAAUUCCUGGUGUAGCGGUGAAAUGCGCAGAUAUCAGGAGGAACACCGGUGGCGAAGGCGGGUCUCUGGGAAACAACUGACGCUGAGGAACGAAAGCGUGGGUAGCAAACAGGAUUAGAUACCCUGGUAGUCCACGCCGUAAACGGUGGGCGCUAGGUGUGGGUUCCUUCCACGGGAUCUGUGCCGUAGCUAACGCAUUAAGCGCCCCGCCUGGGGAGUACGGCCGCAAGGCUAAAACUCAAAGGAAUUGACGGGGGCCCGCACAAGCGGCGGAGCAUGUGGAUUAAUUCGAUGCAACGCGAAGAACCUUACCUGGGUUUGACAUACACCGGAAAACCGUAGAGAUACGGUCCCCCUUGUGGUCGGUGUACAGGUGGUGCAUGGCUGUCG
rnacentral:rRNA from 1 species